AUUGAACGCUGGCGGCAUGCCUUACACAUGCAAGUCGAACGGUAACAGGUCUUCGGAUGCUGACGAGUGGCGAACGGGUGAGUAAUACAUCGGAACGUGCCCGAUCGUGGGGGAUAACGAGGCGAAAGCUUUGCUAAUACCGCAUACGAUCUACGGAUGAAAGCGGGGGAUCUUCGGACCUCGCGCGGACGGAGCGGCCGAUGGCAGAUUAGGUAGUUGGUGGGAUAAAAGCUUACCAAGCCGACGAUCUGUAGCUGGUCUGAGAGGAUGAUCAGCCACACUGGGACUGAGACACGGCCCAGACUCCUACGGGAGGCAGCAGUGGGGAAUUUUGGACAAUGGGCGAAAGCCUGAUCCAGCCAUGCCGCGUGCAGGAUGAAGGCCUUCGGGUUGUAAACUGCUUUUGUACGGAACCAAAAGCCUCUUUCUAAUAAAGAGGGGUCAUGACGGUACCGUAAGAAUAAGCACCGGCUAACUACGUG
rnacentral:rRNA from 1 species